rnacentral:rRNA from 1 species
CUCUCCCUCUUUCUUCAGGCCUAACACAUGCAAGUCGAACGAACCUUUCGGGGUUAGUGGCGGACGGGUGAGUAACACGUGGGAACGUGCCUUUAGGUUCGGAAUAACUCAGGAAAACUUGUGCUAAUACCGAAUGUGCCCUUCGGGGGAAAGAUUUAUCGCCUUUAGAGCGGCCCGCGUCUGAUUAGCUAGUUGGUUGAGGUAAUGGCUCACCAAGGCGACGAUCAGUAGCUGGUCUGAGAGGAUGAUCAGCCACAUUGGGACUGAGACACGGCCCAAACUCCUACGGGAGGCAGCAGUGGGGAAUCUUGCGCAAUGGGCGAAAGCCUGACGCAGCCAUGCCGCGUGAAUGAUGAAGGUCUUAGGAUUGUAAAAUUCUUUCACCGGGGACGAUAAUGACGGUACCCGGAGAAGAAGCCCCGGCUAACUUCGUG